GGUUAAGCGACUAAGCGUACACGGUGGAUGCCCUGGCAGUCAGAGGCGAUGAAGGACGUGCUAAUCUGCGAAAAGCGUCGGUAAGGUGAUAUGAACCGUUAUAACCGGCGAUGUCCGAAUGGGGAAACCCAGUGCAAUUCGUUGCACUAUCGUUAACUGAAUACAUAGGUUAACGAGGCGAACCGGGGGAACUGAAACAUCUAAGUACCCCGAGGAAAAGAAAUCAACCGAGAUUCCCCCAGUAGCGGCGAGCGAACGGGGAGCAGCCCAGAGUCUGAAUCAGCUUGUGUGUUAGUGGAACGGUCUGGAAAGUCCGACGGUACAGGGUGAUAGUCCCGUACACCAAAAUGCACAGGUUGUGAACUCGAAGAGUAGGGCGGGACACGUGGUAUCCUGUCUGAAUAUGGGGGGACCAUCCUCCAAGGCUAAAUACUCCUGACUGACCGAUAGUGAACCAGUACCGUGAGGGAAAGGCGAAAAGAACCCCGGCGAGGGGAGUGAAAAAGAACCUGAAACCGUGUACGUACAAGCAGUGGGAGCACCUUCGGGUGUGACUGCGUACCUUUUGUAUAAUGGGUCAGCGACUUAUAUUCUGUAGCAAGGUUAACCGUAUAGGGGAGCCGCAGGGAAACCGAGUCUUAACUGGGCGUUAAGUUGCAGGGUAUAGACCCGAAACCCGGUGAUCUAGCCAUGGGCAGGUUGAAGGUUGGGUAACACUAACUGGAGGACCGAACCGACUAAUGUUGAAAAAUUAGCGGAUGACUUGUGGCUGGGGGUGAAAGGCCAAUCAAACCGGGAGAUAGCUGGUUCUCCCCGAAAGCUAUUUAGGUAGCGCCUCGUGAACUCAUCUUCGGGGGUAGAGCACUGUUUCGGCUAGGGGGUCAUCCCGACUUACCAACCCGAUGCAAACUACGAAUACCGAAGAAUGUUAUCACGGGAGACACACGGCGGGUGCUAACGUCCGUCGUGAAGAGGGAAACAACCCAGACCGCCAGCUAAGGUCCCAAAGUCAUGGUUAAGUGGGAAACGAUGUGGGAAGGCACAGACAGCCAGGAUGUUGGCUUAGAAGCAGCCAUCAUUUAAAGAAAGCGUAAUAGCUCACUGGUCGAGUCGGCCUGCGCGGAAGAUGUAACGGGGCUAAACCAUGCACCGAAGCUGCGGCAGCGACACGAUGUGUUGUUGGGUAGGGGAGCGUUCUGUAAGCCUGCGAAGGUGACCUGUGAGGGUUGCUGGAGGUAUCAGAAGUGCGAAUGCUGACAUAAGUAACGAUAAAGCGGGUGAAAAGCCCGCUCGCCGGAAGACCAAGGGUUCCUGUCCAACGUUAAUCGGGGCAGGGUGAGUCGACCCCUAAGGCGAGGCCGAAAGGCGUAGUCGAUGGGAAACAGGUUAAUAUUCCUGUACUUGGUGUUACUGCGAAGGGGGGACGGAGAAGGCUAUGUUAGCCGGGCGACGGUUGUCCCGGUUUAAGCAUGUAGGCUGGUUAUCCAGGCAAAUCCGGAUAAUCAAGGCUGAGGUGUGAUGACGAGGCACUACGGUGCUGAAGUAACAAAUGCCCUGCUUCCAGGAAAAGCCUCUAAGCAUCAGGUAACAUCAAAUCGUACCCCAAACCGACACAGGUGGUCAGGUAGAGAAUACCAAGGCGCUUGAGAGAACUCGGGUGAAGGAACUAGGCAAAAUGGUGCCGUAACUUCGGGAGAAGGCACGCUGGUGUGUAGGUGAAGUCCCUGCGGAUGGAGCUGAGACCAGUCGAAGAUACCAGCUGGCUGCAACUGUUUAUUAAAAACACAGCACUGUGCAAACACGAAAGUGGACGUAUACGGUGUGACGCCUGCCCGGUGCCGGAAGGUUAAUUGAUGGGGUUAUCCGUAAGGAGAAGCUCUUGAUCGAAGCCCCGGUAAACGGCGGCCGUAACUAUAACGGUCCUAAGGUAGCGAAAUUCCUUGUCGGGUAAGUUCCGACCUGCACGAAUGGCGUAAUGAUGGCCAGGCUGUCUCCACCCGAGACUCAGUGAAAUUGAACUCGCUGUGAAGAUGCAGUGUACCCGCGGCAAGACGGAAAGACCCCGUGAACCUUUACUAUAGCUUGACACUGAACAUUGAGCCUUGAUGUGUAGGAUAGGUGGGAGGCUUUGAAGCGUGGACGCCAGUCUGCGUGGAGCCAACCUUGAAAUACCACCCUUUAAUGUUUGAUGUUCUAACGUGGGCCCCUAAUCGGGGUUGCGGACAGUGUCUGGUGGGUAGUUUGACUGGGGCGGUCUCCUCCCAAAGCGUAACGGAGGAGCACGAAGGUUAGCUAAUCCUGGUCGGACAUCAGGAGGUUAGUGCAAUGGCAUAAGCUAGCUUGACUGCGAGCGUGACGGCGCGAGCAGGUGCGAAAGCAGGUCAUAGUGAUCCGGUGGUUCUGAAUGGAAGGGCCAUCGCUCAACGGAUAAAAGGUACUCCGGGGAUAACAGGCUGAUACCGCCCAAGAGUUCAUAUCGACGGCGGUGUUUGGCACCUCGAUGUCGGCUCAUCACAUCCUGGGGCUGAAGUAGGUCCCAAGGGUAUGGCUGUUCGCCAUUUAAAGUGGUACGCGAGCUGGGUUUAGAACGUCGUGAGACAGUUCGGUCCCUAUCUGCCGUGGGCGCUGGAGAAUUGAGGGGGGCUGCUCCUAGUACGAGAGGACCGGAGUGGACGCAUCACUGGUGUUCGGGUUGUCAUGCCAAUGGCACUGCCCGGUAGCUAAAUGCGGAAGAGAUAAGUGCUGAAAGCAUCUAAGCACGAAACUUGCCCCGAGAUGAGUUCUCCCUGAGACUUUAAGUCUCCUGAAGGAACGUUGAAGACGACGACGUUGAUAGGCCGGGUGUGUAAGCGCAGCGAUGCGUUGAGCUAACCGGUACUAAUGAACCGUGAGGCUUAACCUU
rnacentral:rRNA from 1 species